UAGCCUAACGGCUGAACCAGCAACUUGGAGGAAUGGAUAGCGAAAGCUAAUUGUACUAAUGGUACAAUAACGAUUUAAUCGUAUAAAAUUCUGGGUAGAAUUAUGAUAAUGACAUUGUUUACCUAUAUAUCUUGACCAAAUUACGUGCCAGCAGUCGCGGUAAUACGUAGAAGAUUAGUGUUAUUCAUCUUUAAUAGGUUUAAAGGGUACCUAGACAGCAAAUCAAGCCUUCAAAAGGGACUAGUUUGCUAGAGUUACUUGUGAGGGGGCAUAAAAGUACUAUCGGUGUAGAGAUAAAAUUCGUUGAUACCCCUUUUCGUAUGAAAAUUAAUGGCACAGAUUUAGGCAAAAGCAUCCCCUUAUGUGAUAACUUUGUGUAGCGAACAGGAUUAGAUACCCCAAUAGUCGAAGCAGAAAAUGAUGAGUGUCAUAGAUUAGAUUUAUAUUUAUUCUAUAAAUGAAAGUGUAAGCACUCCACCUCAAGAGUAAUUUGGCAACAUUGGAACUGAAAUCAUUAGACCGUUUCUGAAACCAGUAGUGAAGUAUGUUGUUUAAUUAGAUAACACGCAAAAAACCUUACCACAAUUUGAAUAUUUACAAGCGUUGCAUGGUUGUCUUCAGUUAAUGUCGUGAGACUAUGGUUAGUUCCAUUAAUUAACGUAAACCCUUGC
rnacentral:rRNA from 1 species